rnacentral:rRNA from 1 species
GUAGGUGGCAAGCGUUGUCCGGAAUUAUUGGGCGUAAAGCGCGCGCAGGCGGUUCUUUAAGUCUGAUGUGAAAGCCCACGGCUCAACCGUGGAGGGUCAUUGGAAACUGGAGAACUUGAGUACAGAAGAGGAAAGCGGAAUUCCACGUGUAGCGGUGAAAUGCGUAGAGAUGUGGAGGAACACCAGUGGCGAAGGCGGCUUUCUGGUCUGUAACUGACGCUGAGGCGCGAAAGCGUGGGGAGCAAACAGGGAUUAGAUACCCUGGUAGCCCACGCCGUAAACGAUGAGUGCUAAGUGUUAGGGGGGUUUCCGCCCCCUUAGUGCUGCAGCUAACGCAUUAAGCACUCCGCCUGGGGAGUACGGCCGCAAGGCUG